AGCGAACGCUGGCGGCAGGCUUAACACAUGCAAGUCGAGCGGGCAUCCUUGUGGUGUCAGCGGCAGACGGGUGAGUAACGCGUGGGAACGUGCCCUUCGGUUCGGAAUAACUCAGGGAAACUUGAGCUAAUACCGGAUACGUGCGAGAGCAGAAACGUUUAUCGGGCGAAGGAUCGGGCCGCGUCUGAUUAGCUAGUUGGUGAGGUUACGGCUCACCAAGGCGACGAUCAGUAGCUGGUCUGCGAGGAUGAGCAGCCACACUGGGACUGAGACACGGCCCCGACUCCGACGGGAGGCAGCAGUGGGGAGUAUUGGACGCUGGGGGCAACCCUGAUCCAGCCAUGCCGCGUGAGUGAGGACGGCCUUAGGGUUGUAAAGCUCUUUUCUCCGGGACGAGAAUGACGGUACCGGAUGAAUAAGCCCCGGCUAACUUCGUG
rnacentral:rRNA from 1 species